GAUGAACGCUAGCUACAGGCUUAACACAUGCAAGUCGCGGGGCAGCAUGGGGGUUGCUUGCAACCCCUGAUGGCGACCGGCGCACGGGUGAGUAACGCGUAUCCAACCUGCCCUUCACCACGGGAUAACCCGGCGAAAGUCGGACUAAUACCGUAUGUUGUCCAUUGACGGCAUCCGAUUUGGACGAAAGGCUUGGCGGUGGAAGGAUGGGGAUGCGUCCGAUUAGCUUGACGGCGGGGUAACGGCCCACCGUGGCUACGAUCGGUAGGGGGUCUGAGAGGAAGGUCCCCCACACUGGAACUGAGACACGGUCCAGACUCCUACGGGAGGCAGCAGUGAGGAAUAUUGGUCAAUGGGCGUAAGCCUGAACCAGCCAAGUAGCGUGCAGGAUGACGGCCCUAUGGGUUGUAAACUGCUUUUAUGCGGGGAUAAAGUGGCCCACGUGUGGGCUUUUGCAGGUACCGCAUGAAUAAGGACCGGCUAAUUCCGUG
rnacentral:rRNA from 1 species